GCCCGAAUGGUGAAAUUGGUAAACACAGGGGAUUUAAAAUCCCCCGGUCGCAUAGACCUUGCCGGUUCGACCCCGGCUUCGGGUACCA
rnacentral:tRNA from 1 species